rnacentral:rRNA from 1 species
AGCAGCCGCGGUAAUUCCAGCUCCAAUAGCGUAUAUUAAAGUUGUUGCAGUUAAAAAGCUCGUAGUUGAAUUUCGGGGUCAGCAGGUUGGUCGUGCCACUGGUAUGCACUGGCCUUGCUGAUUCCUCCCUCUUGAUGAGCCGUAAUGCCAUUAAUUUGGUGUUGCGGGGAAUCAGGACUGUUACUUUGAAAAAAUUAGAGUGUUUAAAGCAGGCAAGCGCUUGAAUACAUUAGCAUGGAAUAAUGAAAUAGGACGUUCGAUCCUAUUUUGUUGGUUUCUAGGAUUGACGUAAUGAUUAAUAGGGAUAGUUGGGGGCAUUAGUAUUCAAUUGUCAGAGGUGAAAUUCUUGGAUUUAUUGAAGACUAACUACUGCGAAAGCAUUUGCCAAGGAUGUUUUCAUUAAUCAAGAACGAAAGUUAGGGGAUCGAAGACGAUCAGAUACCGUCGUAGUCUUAACCAUAAACUAUGCCGACUAGGGAUCGGAUGAUGUUAAUUUUUUAAUGACUCU